rnacentral:rRNA from 1 species
GACGUAGGGCGCGAGCGUUGUCCGGAUUUAUUGGGCGUAAAGAGCUCGUAGGCGGCUUGUCGCGUCGUCCGUGAAAACUUGGGGCUCAACUCCAAGCUUGCGGUCGAUACGGGCAGGCUCGAGUUCGGUAGGGGAGACUGGAAUUCCUGGUGUAGCGGUGAAAUGCGCAGAUAUCAGGAGGAACACCGGUGGCGAAGGCGGGUCUCUGGGCCGAUACUGACGCUGAGGAGCGAAAGCGUGGGGAGCGAACAGG